UCAUUGUUAUCAGAACCGAACCGACCCGGCCGGUUCAAUCGAUCGGACCGAAAAUCGGACCUAUGACCGAUUCGAUUAGCUUAAAAACCGAAAAGUGCAUAAAAAAAUCGAUGAACCCAAAAAACUGGCUGAUUUUUAGAUGAACCCAUAUAACCCAUUUGAACUGGCCGGUUCAUGGGUUCAUAAAUUUUAAACGGAAUCUGACUCGAAUUCUUCCCGACCCGAGCAAAAAUUACAGAAUGCAGACAUUGCAGAGACACGGUUGAAUUGAAUCUGGAAAAAAUCGGAGUCUUCUUCCGGAGUUUCCUCUUCGAGUCUUCCUUCUGCUGUUCUUCAUUAGCUCAUCUUCAGAUCAGAGAAAUUGCAGAGCUCUUGAUUUCCACUGUCAGGGUUUCACACAGCCUCUUCAACUGAAGUCCAUCUGCUGCUGCUUACUGAUCGCCGACCAUCGGUUUUCGGCCGUCUCUUCCUCCAAUUGCUCUGACGCCCUGCUGCUCGUUUAAAGAAUCUGGGGUUGAUCUGCUUAGGUAUGGACUGUUUCCUCCUCACUGUUUCUCUCUCGUAGCACCAAUUCGGUUGGUUCGGAGCUGAGUGUUGUGGGAAAUUUUCUUCCCCCAGUUUCGCCUCAGCUGAUUGUGGGUUCCUAGGGUUUUGCUUGGAUUGAUUUUUGUGUCUGAGCUUUUGGUUUCCCAGUGCUUAGAAGGCAACGAGCUAGCUGGAAGCUAUUGUUUUCUUUUCGAGUGCUUCAUUCUUGUAACAGGAAGCUUUUGAAGCAUUAGCAAUGCACUAUUCAGACCUGAAGUUAACUGAACUAGGAGUUAAUAAUUUCUAUGUUCCUCACGAGUUUAACUGAAUUGAAGUUAACUUGUAUUUUUUUGAACACACUUUAAUUAUUAUCUAAUAUAUAUUACUAUUUUUUGUAUUU